rnacentral:rRNA from 1 species
UAAUACGAGGGGGGCAAGCGUUGUCCGGAUUUAUUGGGCGUAAAGAGUUCGUAGGUGGGUUAGUCAGUCGAAAUUGAAAUCCCACGGCUUAACCGUGGACCCGGUUUCGAUACUGCUAAUCUUGAGUGAGACAGAGGUAAGCGGAAUUCCUGGUGUAGCGGUGAAAUGCGUAGAUAUCAGGAGGAACACCGAAGGCGAAGGCAGCUUACUGGGUCUAUACUGACGCUGAGGAACGAAAGCGUGGGGAGCAAACAGGAUUAGAGACCCUGGUAGUCCACGCCGUAAACGAUGAGUACUUGGUGGUGGAGGAUUCGACCCCUUCACUGUCGGAGCUAACGCGUUAAGUACUCCGCCUGGGAACUACGACCGCAAGGUUG